ACAAAGUUUCUAUGGGGAACCAGGAGCUUUUAUACAUCAGGUUCGAGGAAUGGUACCAGAUGUUGUUUCGGGAACCUCCGCGACCCUCUCUUAGUGGGACCAAGUCAAUCAUUUUGACAGACAGGAAAACAGAGGAGAAAGGUAAAUAGAAGAACAUGAUAUGAUCUGUCCAAGUCACAUAUGGAUUUCAUCGUGGACUAGGUCAGGUCACGAGUUUCACAAGAAAGGUCACAUACGAGUUCUUGAGACUCUCACAAUAUGCACCUCAACAAAUUCUCCCCCGACAGAAAACCCUUUGCCUUCCAUGCUUGUCUUACUCGUUUCUACAGUAUCAUUGUUGUGUCUUCAUUGUUGCGUGCAUGCGCGUUCGCCAUGUUGUUUGCUCCCCCCUAUAAUAUAUUAAAAAAAAGGCGAGGAAAAUUACCUCUGUUGCUGUUCUCCAUCCCUCUCCAUUUUUAUGGAUCUAUGCCUCCUUUCCCUUUCUCCUCAUCUACCCCUCUUUUCCUCCCUCCUCUCGGCCCCAAAUCCCAAAACUCUCGCCUUUUCGCCGUUGCCGUGUUGGACCGGGCUUAUUUUUGCUCGGGCAAACAUCCUCUCCUUCUCAUCUCCAUCCAGUCCUCUCUCCCCCCUCCUCCCCCUCGGCUGUCCUUCUCACUUCUCUCUGCUCUCACCCUUUCUCCUCUUAGUUCCAAUUUCCUCUGCUCGAAUGAGAUGUUGUGUACAGAAGAGAGUGUGUACCUUCCUUAUCACCAGCUCCGGUCCGGGUAUUAGGCGGGGGAAAUGGGCCUGUAAUGAAACAGAGUAGUGCUGUGCAAACACACACCCGUCACGUUUGUUGGUGUUUUAUGUGUGUGUGUGUGUGUGUGUGUGUGUGUGUGUGUGUGUGUGUGUGCGCGCAUACGUUCUGGCGAGUGGCUGAUUAAGGGUCGCCCUCUUUCUCAUCUCGUUGCUCUUCCCACUGUCCUCGCUUCUCUCGUCUUGUCUCGCUCCUUCAGCCUCUUCCCACUUCUCCUGUCCGUUACCUUUUUUAAUCUCUCUUCACGCCUCCCACCCUCUGUCUCUCGGGUCGUCAGUCUUUCCCUUGUGUUAUUUACGGUUCCUUUCUCUUCAGUGUAUCUUGUCAAUUUCAAUUGUACACAUGUUAUUUGGGGUGAAGACGUGUCCUGUGUCCAUACCGCGCGUGUGCUUGUAACUGUCUUUCUGUCCCCAGCAUCCUUUUCCACCCCCGCAGGAGCCUCCUCCACUGUGCUCCGUGUCCUCUUAGCUCCCCUGGUCCUCAUGCAUUGUACAUGAGUUGAGCGACAGCAGCAGAAGCCCUCGUGCUUCCCUGCUGAGGUUUGCCAUGACAGUCGUGUGUGCUCAUGUCAUGUCUGCAGAACUUGUCUCAGAGAGCGCACGCUCCCCCUGAGCCGACUCUAGCAGAAUCGUUCUGCGCUGUUGUGGUUGUUGUUGUCCUUUUUUUAAUCUUUCUACAACGCGCUCACAACCGAACAGACUUUGUUCAUGCUCCUCUUUGCACGCGCCGAUCACCCUCCAAGAGGGGGCUUGUUAUAGGAAGAUAGCUUAAGUGGGUAGCGUUGAGCUCUAAUGACGAGAGUGAGUGAUGAGUAGUCGUACUUGCAAGACAAUGAUACCCAAGGCUCGAUACCACUUAUUGGGAGAAGCUGCAAUUAGAAAUGUGGCCAAGUUGUAUUCAAAUUAAAAUCUUUUUUUUAUUUCAAACAACAUUUUGUAAAGGAAAAACAAAUCAUUAUUAAUAUUCAUGCUGUGAUAUAAGAGGUCAUCAUAUCCAUUAUAUUUGCAGUCAGUUGUCAGGACUGCAGGAUAAACAAAAUUCCAGGCAAUAUUUAUCCUCACAACUGGAUAUGAUUGAUUGAUGGUCAAUACGGUACAUUGACUGGCUCAGAGGUAGCACAGAAGUAGGGUUUGCAAAAACUGGGGCAGCCAAAAACAGCGAUCGAAGGAGAGCGGAUGGAGAGCUUCUGUAAGGUCAAUACGAGCUCACAACUCAGGGUUUAGAUUGUUGUUUUGGUUUUUUACGGUCGACGUGUACACACCGACAGCGGGGUAGUAUGGCGAGGGCUGCUGAGAGUGACGGAUUGGAACAUGCUUCGCCUCUGGCUCGUGCUCGGGGCGGCGCGGUCGCCCAAGUUGGUGGUUUUCAACAUUAAACAGCAAAUUCUCCCGGUUAAACGGAGGGAGUGAGUGCUGUGUAAAGUCUGUGUUUACCACGUUUGCUAUCAGAUGCACAUCUCUCGUCCCACUUGGUCACGAACGGCUGCAUGAUGUCUACAGUUCAGGGACGGGUCGGACUCUUAACACGCUGUCCGUCACAGAUGAAUACACCGUACCUCCUCCUCCAAAAUAUGGUAAUAUAAAGGUUUAAAUAUCACGAGAGCUCAUGCAUCAUGUCAUGUACACUAUGUAUGUUUUGUCACAAACGUUAAAUCAAUGCUAUGUUUUAUUUUGAAAACAGGAAAUGUGAUGUAAUUUGUCAGGUGACAGGAACCAGGAAGUCAAUGAAGAAUAUGGCUCAGAACUGCUGUUUGUAUUGGUAGCUUUUCAAUCCAGUUGAGUCUGCCUGCAUCCUAUACCUUUUUGAUAGCAUCGUUGUUAUACUCUUUCUCAUGUCAAUAAACCUGUGGACAACGGACCAUUGUCUUCAGAGUCGUGAUGUCAGAAAAGAGUUCGUCUAACUGCCAAGGUGUAUCGGAGCGCAUAUACCGAGGGCGGCAUAGUAAAACAACGCUUUCUACCGGGCAAGAUAACGCAGCCAACUGACAGAUGCUACUAACAACGUCAUCACACGCAACCAGUGGAUGACCAUCACAGCGGUGUCUAAACAGAGGUACGUCAACAGACAACGCCAUGUCCGAGAAAGCAACUUCAUUAAAGACGCGGUCCCGCGCUACAUGUUCUGCUACAUACUCAAGUGUAUCAUCGACGGGGUCUGCUGCUGCAAAAGCGAGAGCGAGAGCAGAGGCAGCAAAGGCACGCAUGUCCUACGCUAAAGAGGAAAUGAGCCUGAAGAUAGAAAAAGCUAAGCUAGAAGCCUCAAUAGAAAUGCUCAAAUACAAGAAAGAGACAGCUGCAGCUGUAGCUGAGGCCGAAGUCCUUGAAGCUGCGGUAGAGGCAAAUAGUGAAAGACAAAGUUUGAUGUCAAACUUGGAAUCUGCACAACGCACAGAACAAUAUGUGAUUGACCAAGCUGAAUCACUAAACACAGACGCUCAGCUGCUUGAUGAUGGUGUUGUCGCAAAAAGAGAGCCAAGCCAAAACUACGAAACUCCAACUUCAUCUAUCAAACCUGAAGCAGACUCAUUCCAUCCGGCUCAAGCCAAUAUAUUUUCCCAUCAUACACAAAGCCACAAUGCAGCUUCUCAACCAACUCGCCUCUCCUCACAGCAGCCUUACAUCUACGAAGAUGAGAAGGUCCACACGACACACAAUGUUCGGUUUGACAACCGCAAUGCUACUCCUGAGCAAGGUCUUAGACGUCAAAACGACAAAAGUCAUCCCGCUCUUAAAUCCUACCCCACAUCUUCAAACAACAAUAAUGAAAACUCCAACAUUAGCGACUUUGUAAGAUACUUUGCUCGUCGUGAGCUUGUGGCAACAGGCCUGCUUCAAUUCAACGACAGCCCUCAGAACUACAGAGCCUGGAAACGUUCUUUCCAGAACGCAACCAGAGGGUUGGACCUGACACCAAGCGAGGAAAUGGAUCUCCUGUUUAAAUGGCUCGGCAAAGAGUCAUCAGAACAUGUCGAGCACAUAAGAGCAAUACACAUCAACCAUCCAGCGGCAGGCUUGGCCAUGAUAUGGGACAGACUAGAACAAUCUUAUGGUUCUGCGGAAGUAAUAGAAGAUGCUCUGUUCAAACGUAUUGACGCCUUCCCAAAAUUAACAAAUCGAGAUUAUUCCAAACUAACAAAGUUGAGUGAUCUUUUAAAGGAACUAGAGUCAGCCAAAGAUGAAGGAGACCUGACCGGUCUCUCUUUCCUCGAUACAGCGAGAGGCGUUAACCCUAUUGUACAGAAGCUCCCCUUUGGUCUGCAGGAAAAGUGGGCGUCAGUUGGGGCAUCCUACAAGCAGCAAUAUCACGUGUCAUAUCCUCCCUUUGCCUGCUUUGUAAACUUUGUUAGCCAUGAAGCUAGUGUCAAAAAUGACCCAAGUUUCAACUUUUUCUCUUACUCAGACAUGUCUCUUAGGACAGAAAAAACAACUUGGAAGCCAAACAGACAACGUGAAGUCUCUGUUCACAAAACAGAGAUAUUUCCAAAAGAUACCUCUGGUCCUAGGGAACCCCCAACACAAUUCGCUGACUGUGAACAACUGUGUCCAAUCCACAAAAAACCUCACCCCAUACGCAAAUGCCGUGCAUUCAGAGAAAAGCCCAUUGCAGACCGGAAGACAUUCUUAAAAGAGAAUAACAUCUGUUUCAAAUGCUGCGCUUCAUCAUCACAUAUUGCAAGGAACUGCACAUUUAAUGUUCGAUGUUAUGAAUGUAAAAGUGAAAAACACCACACAGCGCUUCACCCUGGACCUGCACCUUGGGUUGAAGACACAAACUCGGUUCCAGAGCAUGGCGGGGAGGAGGAUAGCUUUCCACAACCCCAUGUCGCCACCAAAUGUACAGAUGUCUGUGGCGGAGACAUGACGGGCCGAUCCUGUUCUAAAGUAUCCCUCGUGAAAGUGUAUCCAACCGGCCACGCUGACAAAGCAGUGAAAAUGUACGUGAUCCUGGACGAACAGAGCAACAGAUCACUAGUUCGUUCACAGUUCUUCGAAAUCUUCAAUGACCAAAGUCCAAGUGCUCCUUACUCAUUGAAAACAUGUGCUGGAGUAAAGAAAGCGACAGGAAGAAGGGCCAGUGGCUACAUUGUGGAAUCUUUGGAUAAGACCGUCAGCAUUCCACUACCCAGCCUCAUAGAAUGUGAUGACAUUCCAAAUAACAGAGAUGAGAUUCCAACUCCAAAUGCAGCCUUUCAUCACGCACACUUAAAGUCAGUUGCACACCUCAUUCCAGAGAUCGACCCACAGGCCCAAAUUAUGCUUCUCUUAGGUCGGGAUAUUCUCAGGGUUCAUAAGGUCCGCAAACAGGUCAAUGGCUCACACAACCUGCCCUAUGCUCAAAAGUUGGAUCUGGGAUGGGUCAUCGUGGGCAAUGUGUGUUUAGGUCGCGUUCAUAAGCCACCAACAGUCAGCGCCUUCUACACUAACACCACAGAACGGGGACGCCCCACUCUCUUUGACCCAUGUCCUAACGUGUUCCGGGUAAAGGAAAGUUACAGUGACACCCAGGCCACAAACCACCUCCAACCAUAUUUUGUGGAGAUACCAAACUGUGAUGUUGACAGCCUAGGACAUAACAUAUUCAAGCAGGCCAAAGACGACAACAACAUUGCUCCAUCUAUCCAGGACAUCUCCUUUGUGAAAAUAAUGAAAGAUGGACUAACAAAAGAUGCAAACAACAGUUGGGUAGCUCCAUUACCCUUUAAAUGCCCACGUCAAAGGCUCCCCAACAACAGGCCACAGGCAGUGAACCGUCUCAAGUUGCUAAGGCGCAACUUUGAAAAGAGGCCUGAAAUGAGAGACCACUUUCUCAUUUUCAUGGACAAGAUGUUCAAGAAUGGUCACGCUGAGCUGGCCCCUCCUCCCAGUGUGGGUGGAGAACAGUGGUACCUGCCAAUAUUUGGGGUGUACCAUCCAAGAAAACCAAACCAAAUCCGAGUAGUCUUCGAUUCCAGCGCCCAGUACAACGGUGUGUCACUCAACGACGUGCUGUUGACUGGGCCUGAUCUGAACAACACACUGCUCGGUGUACUGUUGCGCUUUAGAAAGGAAGCAAUCGCUUUUACAACGGACAUAGAGCAGAUGUUCUAUUGUUUUUCAGUGAGGGAAGACGAUAGGAACUUCCUACGUUUUCUAUGGUUCCAAGAUAACGACCCCUCCAAAGACAUUGUGGAGUAUCGAAUGACGGUCCACGUCUUUGGAAAUAGCCCCACACUCGCAGUAGCAAUUCAUGGAUUGCACCAGUCUGUUCAGGUCAGUGAACUCCACAUUGACCCUGACGUCCAACGUUUUGUGAUGCGUGACUUCUAUGUAGACGAUGGGUUAAAGUCCCUACCCACAGUCGAGGUGCAGUCAACUUGCUGAAAAAAACACAGGACAUUCUCUCCAGAAGAGACAGAAUUAGAUCUUCAGCUCGAUGCUACAACCUUCCACUCAGACAGCAAGGUGGUCCUUGGCUACAUUUCUAAUGAAACCAGGCGCUUUUAUGUGUAUGUAAGUAACCGGGUAUUGCGUAUCCGAAGAUCCUCUCGUCCAGAUCAAUGGCGCUAUGUGUCAACAGAACAGAACCCCGCAGACCACGCUACACGUGCUGUCACUGCAGGCCGUUUGAAUGACACAAACUGGCUGAGCGGGCCCAAAUCUCUGUACACACCGGAGACCAGUACCUCAGAGACCACCCAUGAACUUGUGGACCCGAGUGCAGACUCAGACAUUCGCCCUCUGGUAUCCACUUUGAGCACUACGACAACAUCCAACCAGCUCGGUUCUCAGCGAUUCGCAAGGUUCUCAUCCUGGAAGUCGCUAACUCGGGCCAUUAUUCGCCUCAUACACAUAGCUCGCCUUUUCAACAGCACCUUGAAGAACAGCCUUUGUAAGGGCUGGCAUCACUGCAAAACAGGAUUCAAUUUUGAGGAGUCUAAUCAAGCAUCGCACAUCAUCUUUCGAGCAGUACAGGAGUGACUAAACUCUUUCUUAGGCCUGUUUCUGAGAUAGUGCUUCUUUUCCCCCCAGAGGCCUAGUGGAGUGAACUGUCUAGGAUUUAUUGGAUGGCGUGUAUUCACGCCAAGCAGGGAGUGUUUUGUCACAAACGUUAAAUCAAUGCUAUGUUUUAUUUUGAAAACAGGAAAUGUGAUGUAAUUUGUCAGGUGACAGGAACCAGGAAGUCAAUGAAGAAUAUGGCUCAGAACUGCUGUUUGUAUUGGUAGCUUUUCAAUCCAGUUGAGUCUGCCUGCAUCCUAUACCUUUUUGAUAGCAUCGUUGUUUUACUCUUUCUCAUGUCAAUAAACCUGUGGACAACGGAC